UACAGAGGGUGCAAGCGUUAAUCGGAAUUACUGGGCGUAAAGCGUGCGUAGACGGUUAUUUAAGUCAGGUGUGAAAGCCCCGGGCUCAACCUGGGAACUGCAUUUGUGACUGCAUGGCUGGAGUGCGGCAGAGGGGGAUGGAAUUCCGCGUGUAGCAGUGAAAUGCGUAGAUAUGCGGAGGAACACCGGUGGCGAAGGCGGCAUCCUGGACCGGCAUUGACGCUGAGGCGCGAAGGUCAGGGGAGCAAACGGGAUUGAGAGU
rnacentral:rRNA from 1 species